CACGUAGGGGGCAAGCGUUGUCCGGAUUUAUUGGGCGUAAAGAGCUCGUAGGCGGUUCGCUAAGUCGGGUGUGAAAACUCUGGGCUCAACUCAGAGACGCCACCCGAUACUGGCGUGACUCGAGCCCGGUAGGGGAGCAUGGAAUUCCUGGUGUAGAGGUGAAAUUCGUAGAUAUUGGGAAGAACACCGGUGGCGAAGGCGGCCAACUGGACCACAACUGACGCUGAGGCGCGAAAGCGUGGGGAGCAAACAGG
rnacentral:rRNA from 1 species